rnacentral:rRNA from 1 species
AUUGAACGCUGGCGGCAGGCCUAACACAUGCAAGUCGAGCGGAUGAAGGGAGCUUGCUUCUGGAUUCAGCGGCGGACGGGUGAGUAAUGCCUAGGAAUCUGCCUGGUAGUGGGGGAUAACGUCCGGAAACGGGCGCUAAUACCGCAUACGUCCUGAGGGAGAAAGUGGGGGAUCUUCGGACCUCACGCUAUCAGAUGAGCCUAGGUCGGAUUAGCUAGCUGGUGGGGUAAAGGCCUACCAAGGCGACGAUCCGUAACUGGUCUGAGAGGAUGAUCAGUCACACUGGAACUGAGACACGGUCCAGACUCCUACGGGAGGCAGCAGUGGGGAAUAUUGGACAAUGGGCGAAAGCCUGAUCCAGCCAUGCCGCGUGUGUGAAGAAGGUCUUCGGAUUGUGAAGCACUUUAAGUUGGGAGGAAGGGCAGUAAGUUAAUACCUUGCUGUUUUGACGUUACCAACAGAAUAAGCACCGGCUAACUUCGUG